rnacentral:rRNA from 1 species
UACCAGCACCCCGAGUGGUCGGGACGUUUAUUGGGCCUAAAGCAUCCGUAGCCGGUUCUACAAGUCUUCCGUUAAAUCCAACUGCUUAACAGGUGGGCUGCGGAAGAUACUAUAGAGCUAGGAGGCGGGAGAGGCAAGCGGUACUCGAUGGGUAGAGGUAAAAUCCGUUGAUCCAUUGAAGACCACCAGUGGCGAAGGCGGCUUGCCAGAACGCGCUCGACGGUGAGGGAUGAAAGCUGGGGGAGCAAACCGG